UACGUAGGGUGCGAGCGUUAAUCGGAAUUACUGGGCGUAAAGCGUGCGCCGGCGGUUUUGUAAGCCCGAUGUGAAAGCCCCGGGCUUAACCUGGGAAUGGCAUUUGGGACUGCAAGGCUUGAGUGCGGCAGAGGAGACUGGAAUUCCUGGUGUAGCAGUGAAAUGCGUAGAUAUCAGGAGGAAUACCGAUGGCGAAGGCAGGUCUCUGGGCUGACACUGACGCUCAUGCACGAAAGCGUGGGGAGCAAACAGG
rnacentral:rRNA from 1 species